CAUUCAUAAACCGCUCGACCGUAGUUUUUAGCGGAUAACCCCAAUUUAGGUUUAAUAGUG
rnacentral:tRNA from 1 species